rnacentral:rRNA from 1 species
GACGCAGUAGGAUAGGCGAAGCGUGCUGUUGGAGUGCACGUCCAAGCAGUGAGAUUGAGUGUUAGGCAAAUCCGGCACUCUUAAGAUUGAGCUGUGAUGGGGAGAGGAACUUGUUCCUCGAGUCGUUGAUUUCACACUGCCGAGAAAAGCCUCUAGCUAGAAUAACGGUGCCCGUACCGCAAACCGACACAGGUAGUCAAGAUGAGAAUUCUAAGGUGAGCGAGCGAACUCUCGUUAAGGAACUCGGCAAAAUGACCCCGUAACUUCGGGAGAAGGGGUGCUCUUUGAGGUUCACGCUUCGAAGAGCCGCAGUGAAUAGGCCCAAGCGACUGUUUAUCAAAAACACAGGUCUCUGCUAAACCGUAAGGUGACGUAUAGGGGCUGACGCCUGCCCGGUGCUGGAA